UACGUAGGGUGCGAGCGUUAAUCGGAAUUACUGGGCGUAAAGCGUGCGCAGGCGGUUUUGUAAGUCAGAUGUGAAAUCCCCGGGCUUAGCCUGGGAAUGGCAUUUGGGACUGCAAGGCUGGAGUGUGGCAGAGGAGACUGGAAUUCCUGGUGUAGCAGUGAAAUGCGUAGAUAUCAGGAGGAAUACCGAUGGCGAAGGCAGGUCUCUGGGCUGACACUGACGCUCAUGCACGAAAGCGUGGGGAGCAAACAGG
rnacentral:rRNA from 1 species